CCCUUGUAACCGAUGUCGACUUGGAGGUUGUGCCCUUGAGGCGUGGCUUCCGGAGCUAACGCGUUAAGUCGACCGCCUGGGGAGUACGGCCGCAAGGUUAAAACUCAAAUGAAUUGACGGGGGCCCGCACAAGCGGUGGAGCAUGUGGUUUAAUUCGAUGCAACGCGAAGAACCUUACCUACUCUUGACAUCCAGAGAACUUUCCAGAGAUGGAUUGGUGCCUUCGGGAACUCUGAGACAGGUGCUGCAUGGCUGUCGUCAGCUCGUGUUGUGAAAUGUUGGGUUAAGUCCCGCAACGAGCGCAACCCUUAUCCUUUGUUGCCAGCGGUUAGGCCGGGAACUCAAAGGAGACUGCCAGUGAUAAACUGGAGGAAGGUGGGGAUGACGUCAAGUCAUCAUGGCCCUUACGAGUAGGGCUACACACGUGCUACAAUGGCGCAUACAAAGAGAAGCGACCUCGCGAGAGCAAGCGGACCUCAUAAAGUGCGUCGUAGUCCGGAUUGGAGUCUGCAACUCGACUCCAUGAAGUCGGAAUCGCUAGUAAUCGUGGAUCAGAAUGCCACGGUGAAUACGUUCCCGGGCCUUGUACACACCGCCCGUCACACCAUGGGAGUGGGUUGCAAAAGAAGUAGGUAGCUUAACCUUCGGGAGGGCGCUUACCACUUUGUGAUUCAUGACUGGGGUGAAGUCGUCAAGGGGUUAGCCA
rnacentral:rRNA from 1 species